GAUGAAGAACGCAGCGAAAUGCGAUACGUAAUGUGAAUUGCAGAAUUCAGUGAAUCAUCGAAUCUUUGAACGCAUAUUGCGCUCUCUGGUAUUCCGGAGAGCAUGCUUGUUUGAGUAUCAGUAAACACCUCAACUUUCCAUAUCUUUUUUGAAAUGGGAGUUGGACUUGAGUGAUCCCAACGCUUUUCCUCACCGAAAAGUGGCGGGUUACUUGAAAUGCAGGUGCAGCUGGACUUUUCUCUGAGCUAUAAGCAUAUCUAUUUAGUCUGCCUAAAAAACAGAUUAUUACCUUUGCUGCAGCUAACAUAAAGGAGAUUAGUUCUUGUGCUGACUGAUGCAGGAUUCACAAAGACAGGCUUCGGCCGACUUUGUAAACUCGAUCUCAAAUCAAGUAAGACUACCCGCUGAACUUAAGCAUAUCAAUAAGCGGAGGA
rnacentral:misc_RNA from 1 species